rnacentral:rRNA from 1 species
CUGCGAAUGGCUCAUUAUAUCAGUUAUAGUUUAUUUGGUUAAGGGGACUACUUGGAUAACCGUAGUAAUUCUAGGGCUAAUACAGGAGAAAGUCCUCUGGUGAGGUGUGUUUAUUAGAAUGAAAACCAUAUGCUUCGGCAUGAUAGUGAGUAAUAGUAACCCAUCGUAUCGCAUGCUUAAUGUAGCGAUGAGUCUUUCAAGUUUCUGCCCUAUCAGCUUUCGAUGGUAGUAUAUGGGCCUACCAUG